rnacentral:lncRNA from 1 species
CUCGGCGGUGGAGCCCAAGGCGGGGCCGUGAGGGAAGAGCGUGCGAAGAAGAGAGCAACAACGAACGAAACUGAGCCGCCGAGAGUCUGCAGAGAGGCGGGAUACAGAGCUUCUCCCGCGUGUCCCAAGGUAGCUACGAGCGGCUGCGCGUCCGGCGUCGGGUGAACAUGAAGUCGACCCGCGCUUUUGCCCGGAAAUCAACAGCGGUGGUCGUCACGGUGGCGUGCAUACUCAUCGUCUCCUUGUCGACGGUCUCGGGACAAGAUGUAGACAUAUGUGACCCGAGCGCAGUGACGGGGUGCUACGAGCUGUACACGACCGCGUUAUGGCAAGAGGAGUUCAAGCCCAGUCCAGAGGGCGAGUAUGACGAAGAAAAGGUCAAGCGAGGUUGCAGCCACAUCGAAGAGAAGUUCCCGUGCCAUCGAUAUCUGGCCCAUUGCUCUGAAGCAGUGACUGGCGAACUCAGGAUCCAAGAAAGGGGAUACGAAGCGUUGCGAAACAUUGUGUGAUGUUAACGCUCUGAAAGAAUUUUAUACCGCCAUCAGGUGCCUAAACACGGAGAAGAUGGAAGAAUGCGAAAGAACGUUAGCGCCAACGUCCAAUCCGCAGGACGCCGGGAAGCCACCUGUCCCGGCGCCUCGCUGCAUCAAAAACCCCGCGGAGACUGCCUGCUUCGACCAGGCACUCAACUCGUCCUGCACCCUGUCGAUGACGACGGCCAAGGCAGCGAUGGCCAGAGUUUUGAACGCCGCUGCAAUGCUCAAGGGCUGCGAGUCAUCUGCGAACGCACUCGUGGUUUCCAGAAGCUUUCUAGUUCUGCUGGUUGUUCCCCUUAUCCUGAAUUGGCUGAGGACAUGACCAGUGGGCUGGAAGAAAAUAACUCGGAUGAAUUCAGCGUAGGCCUUACGUAUGGCUAUGCUCAUGACUAUAAACCUCCUUUAUUUAUGGCGCUGCAGAAUGGCGAGUUACCAUUGUAACCUGAGUGCCCAGCCAGUACGAUGUACUUUCGCCAUUGUACUGCACGCUAUAUUGAGUUACGUUAAAGCAUUGUCUUUCUAAACGGACUUCAAAAGUUCGAAGUUAUAGCUGUGUUAAACGAGUUUUCAUUGGAACGUCACGUCGCCAUGAUGGAUGCCUGUACAACGUAAUGACGACAACGUAACGUCAAUCUUUGCUUUUUUGUGCUUUGCGAGGUUUUGUAGGUGUACAUAUUAUGUUGAAGAGUGGCAAUAAAGAAAUAUAUAUAUAUCUUGUUCA